AUUGAACGCUGGCGGCAGGCCUAACACAUGCAAGUCGAGCGGAGCGGCGGACGGGUGAGUAAUGCCUAGGAAUCUUCCUGGUAGUGGGGGAUAACGUACGGAAACGGGCGCUAAUACUGCAUACUAUCAGAUGAGCCUAGGUCGGAUUAGCUAGUUGGGGGGGUAAAGGCCUACCAGGGCGACGAUCGGUAACUGGUCUGAGAGGAUGAUCAGUCAAAUGGGAAGUGAGACACGGUCCAGACUCCCACGGAAGGCAGCAGUGGGGAAUAUUGGACAAUGGGCGAAAGCCUGAUGCAGCCAUGCCGCGUGUGUGAAGAAGGUCUUCGGAUUUUAAAGUACUUUAAGUUGGGCGGCGUUACCAACAGAAUAAGCACCGGCUAACUUCGUGCCAGCAGCCGCGGUAAUUC
rnacentral:rRNA from 1 species